GGAUGUGAGGGCAAUCUGGCUGUGACAUCUGUCACCCUAUUGAUUGCCAGGGUUGAUUUGGCUGAUCUGGCUGACUAGGCAAGUGUCCCCUUCCUCCCUCAAUGCUCCACAUGCAUCCCUCCUGAAGCUGCACACUCAGUCGAAGAGGACCACCUUCCCCAAUAGAAGAGGACCGGUCUUCGGUCAAGGGUAUAGGAGUAGCUGUGCUCCCCUGCUAGAACCUCCAAACAAGCUCUCAAGAAUGAUGGCUUUAAUAAUUCUACAUGCAGGAAAAUGUUCAUAUUAGUAUUAUUAAAGAACAUGGAUAUUUAGAAACAGAACAUAU
rnacentral:snRNA from 1 species